rnacentral:rRNA from 1 species
UAGAUACCCUGGUAGUCCACGCCGUAAACGUGGCCACUAGGUGUGGGUUCCAACCAACGGAAUCCGCGCCGUCGCUAACGCAUUAAGUGCCCCGCCUGGGGAGUACGGCGGCAACGCUAAAACUCAAAGGAAUUGACGGGGGCCCGCACAAGCAGCGGAGCGUGUUGCUUAAUUCGAUGCAACGCGAAGAACCUUACCUGGGCUUGACAUGCUAGGAAAAGCAGUAGAGAUACUGUGUCCUUCGGGGCCUAGCACAGGUGGUGCGUGGCUGUCGUCAGCUCGUGUCGUGAGAUGUUGGGUUAAGUCCCGCAACGAGCGCAACCCUUAUUCUAUGUUGCCAGCACGUAAUGGUGGGGACUCGUAGGAGACUGCCGGGGUCAACUCGGAGGAAGGUGGGGACGACGUCAAGUCAUCAUGCCCCUUAUGUCCAGGGCUGCAAACACGCUACAAUGGCCGGUACAAAGGGCUGCAAGCUCGUGAGAGUAAGCGAAUCCCAUAAAGCCGGUCUCAGUUCGGAUUGAAGGCUGCAACUCGCCUUCAUGAAGCUGGAGUUGCUAGUAAUCCCGGAUCAGCACGCCGGGGUGAAUACGUUCCCGGGCCUUGUACACACCGCCCGUCACACCACGAAAGUCGGCAACACCCGAAGCCGGUGGCCUACCCUUAGGGAAGGAGCCGUCGAAG